rnacentral:miRNA from 1 species
GAGAAGGAAGAUGUAUUGGUUGGUGCAAAAGUAAGUGUAGUUUUUGCCAUUUAAAGUAAUAGCAAAAACCGCAAUAACUUUUGCACCAACGUAGUA